UACAGAGGGUGCGAGCGUUGUCCGGAAUCACUGGGCGUAAAGAGCUCGUAGGCGGUUUGUCGCGUCGGCCGUGAAAUCUCCACGCUUAACGUGGAGCGUGCGGUCGAUACGGGCAGACUUGAGUUCGGUAGGGGAGACUGGAAUUCCUGGUGUAGCGGUGAAAUGCGCAGAUAUCAGGAGGAACACCGGUGGCGAAGGCGGGUCUCUGGGCCGU
rnacentral:rRNA from 1 species